CCUACGGGUGGCUGCAGUGAGGAAUAUUGGUCAAUGGGCGAGAGCCUGAACCAGCCAUCCCGCGUGCAGGAUGACGGCCCUAUGGGUUGUAAACUGCUUUUCUGCUCCAAGAAACCCAUCUACGUGUAGGUGGUUGACGGUAGAGUAGGAAUAAGCAUCGGCUAACUCCGUGCCAGCAGCCGCGGUAAUACGGAGGAUGCAAGCGUUAUCCGGAUUCAUUGGGUUUAAAGGGUGCGCAGGUUGGAAUGUAAGUCAGUGGUGAAAUACUGCCGCUUAACGGUAGAACUGCCAUUGAUACUGCGUUUCUUGAGUAUGGUUGAGGUAGGUGGAAUGUGUUGUGUAGCGGUGAAAUGCAUAGAUAUGACACAGAACGCCGAUUGCGAAGGCAGCUUACUAAGCCAUUACUGACGCUGAGGCACGAAAGCGUGGGGAUCGAACAGGAUUAGAUACCCUAGUAGUCGA
rnacentral:rRNA from 1 species